GGACCCUGUGGGGGCUGGGGGGUCCUGAUGGUGGGAGGGCAGAGACUGCAGGCCUGGUGAAGGCGGAAGAGGGCACCCGGGGCAGAGUGCACUCCCAGCCCACGGAGUGAAGCCCGGAGAGUGCGCGCAGGGCGUGUGGGGGUGCACAGGUGGAGGGGGUUGUGGCGGCGCCGGUGCCCGGGCAAGCAGGGCGCGCGGGCGGGCGGGGCAGGGCUGAGUGUGGGGCCGGAAGGUUACAUAAAUGUUCCCUGGCGCCGCCGCGAGGCCGCUGCGAACCCAGCAGGGCCCAGAACGAUUGCCUCAUCUUAUCGGGAACACAGCGUCCCUGCUGCUCUUGCCCAAGCCACAGCCGGGAACGGCGCAUUCUGCGGGCCAGCAGGAGAGGGACCGGCCAGGGUCUGUCCUCCGCCGCGGUCUGCACCCCAGCGAAGGGUGCAUGCGUUUCCUGGCCGUCCUGCUCUUAGGUACAAAAGGCCUGUCUCACUAUCACCUUCUUCAAGCGCAGCUUCCCAAACCGUCGGCCACCUGCCCCAAGGCGGGAGCCCCUAGAGGCUGCACCUGUACAGACCACGGUGCGUCUCUUUCUGCCGCCUCCUGCGUGCAACCUGGGGAGCUGUUGCUUUGCACUGUUACCCCAACGCCCAGCCCAGAGCAGCCAUCUGGGACCAGGACAGCUGGCUGCCACCGCCUCCUACUUGGUCCCAGCAACGUGGCAGGUACCCGACUGACUCCCCUCUCUGGCAGGGGAAAGGGAGAGGACCCAUCUCUGACCACAGUGUCCUGGGAAGGAAGAUGGAUCCAUCAAGGCCACGGGGUGUCCCUGCUCACAGAACAGAUCUCUCCAGAGGCACAAAGGAUAAACAGAUCCAGGCACACAUGUCCUCCCAGGUCGGGGGAACACCAGUGACGCCCCACAGACCUGACACACAGAUGACCUGGGGAGAAGCAUAAACAAAACAGCCAGAAAAGCUCUGCAAAUGAGGAAAUGGCACUGAGGAAUGGGGAACCAGAGGACCAGAUCCUCAGCCUACUGUGGUGUCACCUAGGGACCAGCCAGUGGAGUGGGGGAGGAACAACAAAAGAAGACCCACAGACUGCCCACUGCACACCAGAUGACGUGACACCUCCGCCCUGCAGGGGGUAGGAGGGGGUGAUUGGAUAGUACUCACAGAGAAGGCUGGAGCUAUGCUUUGACCCCUACACCAAGAGAAAUUCAAAAUGGGAUCCAACCAUCACACGGUACCCAUAAAUAUGCACAAUUUUAUGCAUCUGCUAAGACUUUUAUUAAAAAUUAAAAAUUAUACAUCCAUCCAAGAUUUAAAUGUGAGAAAUGAAACUACAGAUGUCUAGGCGUAAAGUGUUCUAUAAUACUCGAAGUUCUUUCCACAUGAACCAAAGUGCAGAAGCUAUAAAAGACAUAAAUGUGACUGUGGAGAAGUAUAAAACAAUUUGUGGACAAAGCCAUUAUAGAAACAGGCAAAAGAUAAAUGGCAAACAAUAAAAGUACAUCAUAACUCAUGUCACCAAGGGCUGAGCUCCAACAUGGAAGAAACUCACAGAAAUGAGAAGACAACAUAAAACAGAACAAGAGACAAAGGCCGUUCACAAAAGGCCAAGGCAAAUGGCUCCCAACGCUAGAAAACAUGUGCCACCUCCCCAACCAGGAGUUAAAGGAAAUCACUGAAAUGCAGCUUUCUGUCCAGCAGACUCUUGAGGCUUCGGGAAACAGGCUCUUGAUACUUUGCUAAUGGGAGUACAAAUUGUUAAAAAGUUCCUUGCAGGGUGACUGUCAAUACCUGGUAAAAUCACAAACGACCAUCUCCUUUGUGCAGGACUGGACUGUGGGUACCUUGUUCCACAAAUACGCCAGGCACCUACAGAUACACGCCUCAUUCUUCAACACAGCAGAAGCUUGGAAAAACAGCUCCCAGUACUGUGCAACACCCAUGCAAGGGAGCACUAUGAAAAACAAGUAGGGGUGCCUCCAAACUGCUGUGGAGGAUGCCCAAGCUGUACUGCCAAGUGAACAACCCAGGUCUCAUUGGGUGUGGUGGCACAUGCCUGUAAUCCCAGCACUCGAGAGGCUGAGGCACAAGGAUCACCAUGAGUUCGAGCCAGCCUGGGCUAUACAAGUGAGUCCAAAGGCAGCCUGCACUACACAGUAAGACCCCGUCUCAAAAAACAAAAAACAAAAACAAGAAAAACUCAAAGUAGGCCCAGCACAGAAUGCACGGAGGGUGAUCAGAUGGGCAGGAAGAUGUGUGCCCCUCCCCACCAUGUGUGCAGACUCUCGGGGGACACUGGGAAGGACAGCAGGUAGGAGACAAGGAAAGCUGCAAGAAUCUUCCCUGGGAACUGACCUUUCAGAUUUUGAGGCCCACAAAAGUGCUACCGCAUAUUCGAACAUUAGAUUAAAAACAAAAACCAGCAAACUAGAAAA